ensembl:rRNA 5S_rRNA 5S ribosomal RNA
GCUUACGGCCACACCGCCUGGUUCACGCUUGAUCUCGGAAGCUAAGAUAGGUUGGGCCUGGUUAGUACUUGGAUGGGAGACCGCCUGGGAAUACCAGAUGCUGUAAGCU